CUCCUCCCUCCUCUCUCAACCUCUCUAUCUCACUUGGAGUUUUUCUUUUCUUUCUAAUUUUAUGUCUUUCUUUUUAAGGUACAAUUGACGCGUUAGCUGGACACUUAUUUGGUAAUAUGUUGCAGGUAUUUUUCUCUAACAACAAAUGACUUGGAGAGAUAGUCUAGAGUCCUGAAUCUUUGCAUCAUGAGGAGGAUAUGGUUCAGUGGACAGAAAGUUAAGGCCAUGGGCUGAAGCUUUAUAGGCUGUUCUGUUUGAAAACAACAGCUAGGAAGACGACUGCAUAAUCAAGCAAGUUGGGAGACCCGGUGCUAAAAGAUUGUCUGUUCUUGCGAAGUUCUUACCAGGGUGAGUUAAUACUGUGAAAACUCACUUCCAGAUCUUGAGAGAACCACUGAAAUGAAUGAUAAUAUGCAAAUUAGUUUGGUUUCCAAUUUAUAGGCAUUCUGUUUGUAUUUUAUUUAUAUUGAUAUAUACCUUAGCAUAUAGAGAGUACCUUACAAUUACCUUUUGGCCAGAGGAAAGCCAAUACUCAGUUGAGUGAUUGUGGCAAAUCCAGUCAAGCAAGGAGAAACUCAAUGGCGAAUCAAGUCAAGCAGGGUGGAGCUGAAUGGCAGUUAAUGGUGAAUAGCAAGGUGGAGCUUAAUGAAAUUCUGUAUUUUUUCUCUUUUCCAAGUAAGUUUUUGGUUUUUAAUAUCAUAACUGUAAUAUCCUUGUUAAAAAGGUUGACCACUUGCAAUACUUGGUCUGUUUUCAGUAUGAAAAUAUUAAUGUAAUAGUCCUGCGGAUAGGUCCACCACUUGCAUCACUUUCUGUAUUUUCAUUAUGAAAAGAUUAAUGGAAUUAUUGUGUAUGGUGUAUUCUCAUUAUUUUCGGAAGUGUUGAAUAUAAGUAUUUCCAUUAGGAAUGUAAUUCUUUUAUUUGAGAAACAAUGAAUAUUUGAAAACGAAAAAAAACAAAAACCAGUGAAUGUUUGAAAGGCAAGGAUUGAGGCUGGGUUGCUAAUGUUUAAA